GAGUUUGAUCUUGGCUCAGAUUGAACGCUGGCGGCAGGCCUAACACAUGCAAGUCGAGCGGUAGAGAGAAGCUUGCUUCUCUUGAGAGCGGCGGACGGGUGAGUAAUGCCUAGGAAUCUGCCUGGUAGUGGGGGAUAACGCUCGGAAACGGACGCUAAUACCGCAUACGUCCUACGGGAGAAAGCAGGGGACCUUCGGGCCUUGCGCUAUCAGAUGAGCCUAGGUCGGAUUAGCUAGUUGGUGAGGUAAUGGCUCACCAAGGCGACGAUCCGUAACUGGUCUGAGAGGAUGAUCAGUCACACUGGAACUGAGACACGGUCCAGACUCCUACGGGAGGCAGCAGUGGGGAAUAUUGGACAAUGGGCGAAAGCCUGAUCCAGCCAUGCCGCGUGUGUGAAGAAGGUCUUCGGAUUGUAAAGCACUUUAAGUUGGGAGGAAGGGCAGUAAAUUAAUACUUUGCUGUUUUGACGUUACCGACAGAAUAAGCACCGGCUAACUCUGUGCCAGCCGCCGG
rnacentral:rRNA from 1 species